UGGGGAAUAUUGCACAAUGGGCGCAAGCCUGAUGCAGCCAUGCCGCGUGUAUGAAGAAGGUCUUCGGGUUGUAAAGCACUUUCAGCGGGGAGGAAGGCGAUAAGGUUAAUAACCUUGUCGAUUGACGUUACCCGCAGAAGAAGCACCGGCUAACUCCGUGCCAGCAGCCGCGGUAAUACGGAGGGUGCAAGCGUUAAUCGGAAUUACUGGGCGUAAAGCGCACGCAGGCGGUCUGUCAAGUCGGAUGUGAAAUCCCCGGGCUUAACCUGGGAACUGCAUUCGAAACUGGCAGGCUAGAGUCUUGUAGAGGGGGGUAGAAUUCCAGGUGUAGCGGUGAAAUGCGUAGAGAUCUGGAGGAAUACCGGUGGCGAAGGCGGCCCCCUGGACAAAGACUGACGCUCAGGUGCGAAAGCGUGGGGAGCAAACAGG
rnacentral:rRNA from 1 species